rnacentral:rRNA from 1 species
GUGCCAGCAGCCGCGGUAAUACGUAGGGAGCUAGCGUUGUCCGGAAUUAUUGGGCGUAAAGCGCGCGCAGGCGGUUCUUUAAGUCUGAUGUGAAAUCUUGCGGCUCAACCGCAAGCGGUCAUUGGAAACUGGGGAACUUGAGUGCAGAAGAGGAAAGCGGAAUUCCACGUGUAGCGGUGAAAUGCGUAGAGAUGUGGAGGAACACCAGUGGCGAAGGCGGCUUUCUGGUCUGUAACUGACGCUGAGGCGCGAAAGCGUGGGGAGCAAACAGGAUUAGAUACCCUGGUAGUCCACGCCGUAAACGAUGAGUGCUAAGUGUUGGAGGGUUUCCGCCCUCCAGUGCUGCAGCUAACGCAUUAAGCACUCCGCCUGGGGAGUACGGUCGCAAGACUGAAACUCAAAUAAAUUGACGG